AUGCAGCGGAGGAGAGUAACGAGAUCAGAGAGUUCAGAAGACGAUGGGAGCGACUGCGAGGAACACGGCAGUGAAGAGAAGAAAGCAGAGGAGGAAGAGGAAGGAGGACAUGAAGAUGAGGAAGAAGACGAGGAAGAAGAGGGUGAUGGAGAGAGCGAGGAUGGAGAACACAAGGAAGGAGGAGAUGAGGAGGAUGAAGAUGGCAGUGAGGAAGGAGACAGUGAUGAAAGUGCCGGAGCUGAUGAAGAGAGUGAAGAUGAGGAGAACAACGGAGAGGAAGAACAACCAUCUGGGAAGAUUUCCUUGGAUCUGACAGACGUCAGUCGAUCACGUGAACAUUUCCUACUGGAGUAUUUUCAUCUGACCGUCUGUGACGUGUGUUUAUUUGCACAGACAGUCAGAUGAACAUAACUGAAGUAUUAAUGCUAUAAUAGUAUAAUAAUACCUCAGUUUAAAAACAAAUCCCUCUCUCCCACAGGAUGUGACAUCAUGAUGGGUGGAGCUCUCGCCGGUGGACAUCAUGAACACUGUGAAGAUGAUCAUGAUCGCCGAUCCCGGAGUCAGAGAAGAAAAUUAAAGCAAAUUCAUAUUUAACUUACAUGCAAAUGAAGAUUUAAGAAAUAAUUCAUUUUCGCAUCGUCAGCCUAAAGGAACCUAAUGAAUCAGAUCAGAACACAAAACCACAUCAACGUGGAAAUAAGCAAAAUGUCAAGUGUAAAUAAAUUUUGCAUGCUAUUUUAAAAUGUUAUUAUAGUUUAUUAUUUUUAAAAGUUACAUUCGAACAUUUUAAUUUAGUUUUAUUUACCUAAGUUUGGUUUCUCAAUAUAUUCUGAUUAAAUUUUAUGCCAUUUUAACAUUUUAAGGGCUGCUAAAUAUAACAGAUGUCGUUUUUUAAAUGUAUAAAAAUUGUUUUCCUUAUUCAUUGAUUUGAAUACAAUAUUACAUAUAUAAAAUCCCAAUAAGUAGGCCUAUAUUAUAUAUCAGUAAUAUGUUAAUUCAUGUAAAUCCUAGGAAUUACUACGGCAUUACCAGAGCUGGAUUCUGGUUUUAAUGUUACAUAAGUGUAUAUAAUCCUCAAUAUUUCUAUGUUAUUUUUUUGAAAAACAUCAUUAAUAAAGGUAAACUGUCGUGAAGUAAACGUCUCACCUCAGAAACCGUCCCGUCUUUUUGUCUAUUUUGAAAAAAUAAAAAAAAGCUAUAUUUAAGCAUCUUAUUGUAGUUUGUCGAACAUCCUUGUAUGUGACAGCCAUCUAGUGGCUUUCUAAACACAUAAGA
ensembl:lncRNA